rnacentral:rRNA from 1 species
GUGAACGCUGGCGGUAGGCCUAACACAUGCAAGUCGAACGGCAGCACAGUAAGAGCUUGCUCUUACGGGUGGCGAGUGGCGGACGGGUGAGGAAUACAUCGGAAUCUACUUUUUCGUGGGGGAUAACGUAGGGAAACUUACGCUAAUACCGCAUACGACCUACGGGUGAAAGCAGGGGAUCUUCGGACCUUGCGCGAUUGAAUGAGCCGAUGUCGGAUUAGCUAGUUGGCGGGGUAAAGGCCCACCAAGGCGACGAUCCGUAGCUGGUCUGAGAGGAUGAUCAGCCACACUGGAACUGAGACACGGUCCAGACUCCUACGGGAGGCAGCAGUGGGGAUAUUGGACAAUGGGCGCAAGCCUGAUCCAGCCAUACCGCGUGGGUGAAGAAGGCCUUCGGGUUGUAAAGCCCUUUUGUUGGGAAAGAAAAGCAGCAGGUUAAUACCCCGCUGUUCUGACGGUACCCAAAGAAUAAGCACCGGCUAACUUCGUG